rnacentral:rRNA from 1 species
ACCUACCUAUAAGACUGGGAUAACUUCGGGAAACCGGAGCUAAUACCGGAUAAUAUUUCGAACCGCAUGGUUCGAUAGUGAAAGAUGGUUUUGCUAUCACUUAUAGAUGGACCCGCGCCGUAUUAGCUAGUUGGUAAGGUAACGGCUUACCAAGGCGACGAUACGUAGCCGACCUGAGAUGGUGAUCGGCCACACUGGAACUGAGACACGGUCCAG